CGGAGGGUGCUAGCGUUGUUCGGAUUUACUGGGCGUAAAGGGCGCGUAGGCGGCCCUGUCAGUCGGGUGUGAAAGCCCGGGGCUCAACCCCGGAACGGCACCCGAGACGGCAGGGCUGGAGACCGGGAGAGGAGGGUGGAAUAGCCAGUGUAGAGGUGAAAUUCGUAGAUAUUGGCUGGAACACCGGUGGCGAAAGCGGCUCUCUGGCCCGGUUCUGACGCUGAGGCGCGAAGCGUGGGGAGCAAACAGGAUU
rnacentral:rRNA from 1 species